UUUGGGACUGCCGGAUGGCUCAGCAGGUAAGGGUUCUUAUCAGCUGACUUCGAAAUCCUGAAAAAAGUUCUAAGGCUGAGACCAGCCCAGCUUCCUGGAAGAGGCUCAGAUCACCUGAGCCACCAGGAGAAGACGCUCUCCAACCCGCUGAGCUGUCUGCAGGCUGUAGGGUGUGCUCCAGUUUCCCAGCUUCUGGGAGCUGUCACCCAUGCUGGGGUGGGCUUUGGUGACGCAACUGUCUUUGAAUAAUUUUUGCUCCUGUAAGCGACCCUUCACCCAUAUUCCUGUGAAUGACCCCAAGAAAGCUCAUUCACCAGGUUAGACUUCAGCAGUGCCCACAACUCUGUUCUGUCUUCAAUUCCCUAUCUGGGGUGAGUAGACGUUUGUUCAUGCCUCUGCAGGAAUAGAGUCAUACAACAGAUAAAUUCUCAGGAAAUCACUUAGAGGAACUUAUUAGCAUGCCGAUUUCAAAAUGCCUGAUUAAGGCUGGGUGCUUAAGAGAUUGCGGUUGGCAAGAAGGGAGGGGAAUCUUCAACAUUAUAACCAUCUUCAUUGUUUAGCUCAAGAAUGCUGGAGAAGUUCUUUUGUAGCUGCAAACCUGAUUUGCCUCCAGUCCUUUGAUCCCCAGCAGGAGGCCUGCAGAGGCUGCACCAGCAAACUCAGAGAAGUUAUGAAGAGUGCCUGUCAGUUAUAUUUCGUGUACAUCAUGGCUGGCUUUCACUUCUCCUUGCUGAAUCCAUGAUUCCUGUUGCAGUGCUUCAUGAGAAAGAAAUGAGCAUGCUAAAGAUCUCAGGGAUGAUUCUGGAAAGGAGCCUUCUGGACUUGGGAAGUGGAACUGAUACACUCACUCUUCCCAUCAACUAAUAUCAGCCACGAGGCCUAGAAAGGCAGAUAUAGACAUUACAUCAUCAGCUUGUUGCUGGGGAAACCAAACAGCAGAGGUUUUUUUCUUGCCCUGACUCAUCUGACUCCACAGGACAGCUGCCAGCUUAACUUCUUCAUUGAGCGUGAAAAAAAAAACAAAAAACAAAAAACAAAAAACUAAAGUCAGUAAAUAAACAAAUAACAGUUCAAACUUAA